rnacentral:rRNA from 1 species
UACGAAGGGGGCUAGCGUUGUUCGGAAUCACUGGGCGUAAAGGGCGCGUAGGCGGCUGUUCAAGUCGGGGGUGAAAUCCCGUGGCUCAACCACGGAAUGGCCUUCGAUACUGGACGGCUGGAGACCGGAAGAGGUGAGUGGAACUGCGAGUGUAGAGGUGAAAUUCGUAGAUAUCAGGAGGAACACCGGUGGCGAAGGCGGGUCUCUGGGCCGAUACUGACGCUGAGGAGCGAAAGCUAGGGGAGCAAACAGG